UACGUAGGGUGCGAGCGUUGUCCGGAAUUAUUGGGCGUAAAGGGCGCGUAGGCGGUCAGCACAAGUCAGUUGUGAAAUCUCCGGGCUUAACCCGGAAAGGUCAACUGAUACUGUGCGACUAGAGUGCGGAAGGGGCAACUGGAAUUCUUGGUGUAGCGGUGAAAUGCGUAGAUAUCAAGAGGAACACCUGCGGCGAAGGCGGGUUGCUGGGCCGACACUGACGCUGAUGCGCGAAAGCCAGGGGAGCGAACGGG
rnacentral:rRNA from 1 species